CGCCGCCUCCACAUUAAAGUUUUCUCUUCAAUGUAAUAUAAAUCGGACCCCUAUUAUGUGUUCUUAAAAGUCGUUAAGCUUAUCGAGAGAUGAAGCUGGGUUUGUUAAUUGGUAUGAUGCUUCUCUUGUCUAUUGCACUAAUUAACCCCAGCUUUGGCCAGAGUAAUCUACUCAUCUCGCACGCUAGGAUUGGAAAGACACACAUAAACAAAGGAAGGAAAAUUCGCUUUGGAGGCAGUACUUCUAUACGUGGUGGUAGCGGAUACCACGGACCUGGUCGUCAUCCCUAAUUUUACGAGUUGUAAUAAUCUUAUCGAUCUACCCUAAAUAUCCCAUCCCAUUGUGACGAUCUGGUGCGUUGCUGUUUCACUAUGUGUGUUGUGAUCCGAUUCUCUUUGAAUAAAUGAAAUGUAACUUCUUUUGUUUGAUGGUUAAAAUUGUGUAUUGAUUGGUAAUUUGGUGUCGCAAUGUGUGUGUGUGUUUUUUUUUUAAUAAAUGUUACCCAAAUCGAUGGUUAACAUUGUAAUUUCAAGUCAUGCAAAUAUAAGGAUAGUAUAGUAAAUAAAUAAAAGUCG